rnacentral:lncRNA from 1 species
UUCUCACUAUAUCCUAAAAGAAACUGAGGAUCACUCAGGCACUCAAACUCCACUGAAGUCAACGAUUGAUGCAACAUUAACAAACACAAACUCCACUGAAGUCAACGAUUGAUGCAACAUUAACAAACACAAACUCCACUGAAGUCAACGAUUGAUGCAACAUUAACAAACACAAACUCCACUGAAGUCAACGAUUGAUGCAACAUUAACAAACACAAACUCCACUGAAGUCAACGAUUGAUGCAACAUUAACAAACACAAACUCCACUGAAGUCAACGAUUGAUGCAACAUUAACAAACACAAACUCCACUGAAGUCAACGAUUGAUGCAACAUUAACAAACACAAACUCCACUGAAGUCAACGAUUGAUGCAACAUUAACAAACACAAACUCCACUGAAGUCAACGAUUGAUGCAACAUUAACAAACACAAACUCCACUGAAGUCAACGAUUGAUGCAACAUUAACAAACACAAACUCCACUGAAGUCAACGAUUGAUGCAACAUUAACAAACACAAACUCCACUGAAGUCAACGAUUGAUGCAACAUUAACAAACACAAACUCCACUGAAGUCAACGAUUGAUGCAACAUUAACAAACACAAACUCCACUGAAGUCAACGAUUGAUGCAACAUUAACAAACACAAACUCCACUGAAGUCAACGAUUGAUGCAACAUUAACAAACACAAACUCCACUGAAGUCAACGAUUGAUGCAACAUUAACAAACACAAACUCCACUGAAGUCAACGAUUGAUGCAACAUUAACAAACACAAACUCCACUGAAGUCAACGAUUGAUGCAACAUUAACAAACACAAACUCCACUGAAGUCAACGAUUGAUGCAACAUUAACAAACACAAACUCCACUGAAGUCAACGAUUGAUGCAACAUUAACAAACACAAACUCCACUGAAGUCAACGAUUGAUGCAACAUUAACAAGAGGCCAUCUGAACAAACAGAGGAAGAAAUUUGGAAUAUUUUGAAUUACAGUUUGGAAUACAUCAAAAUAUGCAAGUUUCAUGUUGAGCACAUACUACCACACCUCAAAGCAAGUGUACUACUCCCUCUGUCCCAAUUAAUGUGGUACCACUUUCAUUUUUAGUCCAUCCCAAAAAGAAUGUAAUAUUUCUAUAAUAAUAGAG